AGAAUCAACGCUGGCGGCGUGCCUAACACAUGCAAGUCGCACGAGAAAGGGUAGCAAUACCUGAGUAAAGUGGCGCACGGGUGAGUAACCCGUGAAUUAUCUACCUCCGAGUGGGGAAUAACUGAGAGAAAUCUUAGCUAAUACCGCAUAACACUUACGAGUCAAAGCAGCAAUGCGCUUGGAGAGGAGUUCGCGGCCGAUUAGUUAGUUGGCGGGGUAAUGGCCCACCAAGACGAUGAUCGGUA
rnacentral:rRNA from 1 species